ACGGCAGCGCGGGGCAACCUGGCGGCGAGUGGCGAACGGGUGAGUAAUAUAUCGGAACGUACCCUGGAGUGGGGGAUAACGUAGCGAAAGUUACGCUAAUACCGCAUACGAUCUAAGGAUGAAAGUGGGGGAUCGCAAGACCUCAUGCUCCUGGAGCGGCCGAUAUCUGAUUAGCUAGUUGGUGGGGUAAAGGCCUACCAAGGCAUCGAUCAGUAGCUGGUCUGAGAGGACGACCAGCCACACUGGAACUGAGACACGGUCCAGACUCCUACGGGAGGCAGCAGUGGGGAAUUUUGGACAAUGGGGGCAACCCUGAUCCAGCAAUGCCGCGUGAGUGAAGAAGGCCCUCGGGUUGUAAAGCUCUUUUGUCAGGGAAGAAACGGUGUUUCCUAAUACGGAAUGCUAAUGACGGUACCUGAAGAAUAAGCACCGGCUAACUACGUGCCAGCAGCCGCGGUAAU
rnacentral:rRNA from 1 species